GGAGGCAGAGCGCGGCCAUGGCGGGGUGAGUGAGCCGCUCCAGGCCGCGGCCCGGGACCAGGCCCUGCGGGCUCUCCCGGCGUCAGGGCUGCGCCUCCGAGCGGUGGGGAGGCCGCUGGAGCAGGCGCCGGGUACCGGGCGGCCGCUGCACAGCCCCCUGCGCAAUGCCAGGCCCGAGCUCCGGCAGUGUGGUCACGCGUGACAGUCGCUCACUAGCUGGGGCCCCUGGAGCAUUUCAUCCCCCCCCUCCCCACGGUGAUCUAAUAGACAAAACACGCGGAGUCGCGACUCCAGGCUGAGCCCAGAACCUGGGGAGCCAGACGCAGACCCUCUCUUGUCUCCCCACAUCUUCUUUGAAAGCAUAAUUCCUCCCCUGGCCCCAGGUCUCCAAGGGUCUCCUGAAUCCCUCCCCGUGGGUGUUCCAGAUGCUGCACACUCUCUUGCCCCAGGAGCUUGGUGUUCGCUUAGUGUUUCCUAUACAGACCUUGCUUUAUUUUUAGGCCUUUUCUGUCUUCUCGCUGUGUCUCUGGAGCUCAGAGCAGUCCCAAAUACAUAAAUGGCAGGCUCUGUAAAUGUUGGUGUGGUGUUGAAAGGAAUCUGACAUGUUGGACGAAGGCAAGGGGAGGGAAGGAUGGCUGGAACAGUGAAGAGGUUGGAAAGCGGGUGUGGAGUUUUACAGGCCAUUGACGAUUUGGGGUUUCCAUUCUUGGGCUCGGUGAAAGGUGUUGGGUGAUUCUGAGCAGGAAAAGGAACAUGAUAUGCCCUGAAGGCCCGCGAGUUGAGAAGUUAGUUUGAAUGGAGCCGGCUGUGUCCAGUUUACUUGGCUUGGCAAAAUCUGCACUUAGAUAUCAUUGCUUAGUCUUGCAAAAAAAGAAGCCUGGCUGGACAUGGUGGCACAUACUGUAAUCCCAGCACUCGGGAGGAGCCAGCUUUGGUUGCAUAGUGAGUUGGAAGCCAGCCUAGGCUAUGUAAGACCCUGUCUC
rnacentral:lncRNA from 1 species